rnacentral:piRNA from 1 species
UGCUAGCAUCCUGGUUAGGACUGCCACCC